rnacentral:rRNA from 1 species
AGUCACUGACAUUAGAUACCCCGGUAGUCCAGGGUGUAAACGCUGCAGACUUGGUGUUGGAAGCCCUUUGGGGGCAUUCAGUGCCGGAGAGAAGUUGUUAAGUCUGCUACUUGGGGAGUACGUCCGCAAGGAUGAAACUUAAAGGAAUUGGCGGGGGAGCACCGCAACGGGAGGAGCGUGCGGUUUAAUUGGAUUCAACACCGUAAACUCACCAGGGAAGACUGUUACAUGAAGGCCGAGAUGAAGACUCUGCUAGAUUUUCAG